UGAGCGAUGCCCCUUCGUUAGUCGACAAAGACUGCCACAGGCACACACACGUUUUUGCCACUGUUUUAUGUGUGCUUUUCCUUCCAACCUUUCGACACGACUCCGCCUCUUCUUGCUGAGAGACGAAAAAGAAACAGCGGACAUCCGUUCCUACCUGUGGAAGGGAAUUUCCUAACGGUCUCGCAGUAAACUACAAUGACAACAAGCGGAUGAAGAGAGCGAUUUGAAAAUGACAUUAGUUUUACCAACAGUUAAGUUGACACUAGCUUUUACGACGCAGGUGCAUCUUUAUACGUGCCUUUCAUUCCGAGCACGUGAAACUUCAUCAUAUCAAAACUUUACGUUCUCCAUCAAGGUCCGUCAGAAGUUGAAAACAAAACUGAUUUCCUGCUCUGACACACAUCUGUUAAAUAAACAAUCGUAUUUAUAGUUACAUUUUUUUUUAUAGAACCAGAAAAAUCUUCAUGAAAUCGGCAUUCAAUGUGAGUAAAGAACUUUAUAUGGAAAACACAAGAAGAGUUAACCUUUCAGUUCUUAGAUGCAGUCUCCUUUCGUGGAUAAUUUGUAGUCAUGUUGCCACAGAGGGUUAAGGCAUUGAGAAUAAUACGAGAACAGUUGUAGUUAAUCUACAAAACUGUAAACCUCCCGGUGACUGGCUCCACAAAAUUGCACACUAUUUUUAACAAGCCUCACCAAUCUUGUACAGGUCACAGUAAUUAUUGUUGAAAUUUCUGUUUAUAAAUAAAGUAAAAGAGCUCUUUUUCA